UUUAUGCUUGACAGACUAACAAUACUACUUUUAACUAGAGACG
rnacentral:misc_RNA from 1 species